rfam:Roseiflexus sp. RS-1, complete genome.
AGCAACGCCCGCCUGCGCGGGCGA